rnacentral:lncRNA from 1 species
UUUUUUUUUUUUUUUUUUUUUGGUUUAAGGGAAAACUCAUAACCUUGUAAGAGAAAAGCAAAGGGAAUUGGUCACAUCUUGAUUAAAGCUAUUUAAGCGAUGCACACAUAAGGAGAUUUGCAUAUAAGAUGCUAAGGUGGGUCUUGGGCUGAAUUACUAUGAUUUGUGCAUGAGAACAUUCGGUUGAGUCACACUAUUAAACUCAAACAUGCACACAUGAGAAGAAAAGGUAAAAUCACAAAUCAGAGAAGCUUCAGCCGGAUUACAUAUUUUUAAUGGUUUCUCUUGCUAGAAAUGCGAAUUGACCAAAUGGUUCCUCUGCAUUGAUCUUGGAUUUUAAGGGUUUUCAUUGUCCAUACUGCUGUGAUUCACUAAUUUAUUCUCAUUUUCAAGGGAUUAGCACUCAUCAGGUAAUAUUUUGAAUUCAUAUAGCGUGCAUAAAUAACUAUCAUAUGCAUGACUAUAAAUUUGAAUACUAUAUAGAUAUAUCUGUAUGUAUGCAUGUAUAUUAAAUUUGUAUAGACACAUACACGUUUAUAAACUAUGUACAAGGUAUAAGCUCAUCCAUUUUAACGCACUUUAUCACUUUAAGUGAUUUUAUUAAGAGUUAAUCUUAUAUAUAUUUACAAUGUAUACAGUACUAUUAGGAUUGGAUAUAUGAUGCAUAUGCAAGAUUUGAAUUUUUAAUUCAAAUUAGAUUAAUUGUUAUAUAUCUAAUGGUGAUAAUGUAUACACUAUCAGUAUAUAAAAAAUUAUGUUUUAAUGAAGAUCCUUCUUUCACUGAAAUUUAGAAUUUCUGACUUCCACUUCUUUCUCCCUACGACAUUCAAUGCAAUAACAUCUUGACAUUGGCACAUUCAACAUGACCCUCCAGACAUUCAGGGGGUCAAAUUUAUGCUUGCACCAUUUGUACAUUUGCCAAAAUUGAGACUAAGAAUUAACUGUUCCAAUGCUUCAAGAGUUGGUCCUAUGCCAUUUUCAAGGGAUCACCUGAAUUCAAGUAAUAUAUAGUUUUUGAGAACUAUUCCGAGUUCGAAUUAAUGGACAUCAAUUCACCCUUAAAUAGAAGCAAACGGAGAAACACCAGAGGGAGCAGUAGUUCACAACUUCAACUUGUGCAUUCAAGCCUUUCUCUAUUCGUUCUUAUUGUCGUCGAUGUAAAGUACAAAUUGAAGAAGUUGAUAUACAUAGAAAGGGACUGCCACCGAAAUAGCUUAAUUAUAAUCUUAUCUAAUAUUCCAACUUCAAUAGAAACACUACUCGUGCUGCAGCUGCUAUAAACUGCAAACUGCCUUGUAUUGAUAAGAAAAUUGAUCCCCUGAAUAUCUGUAAAGGAACCACUGAAGGAACCACUGGGCCAAUGGCUCAGAGGCCACCAGGGAGGGAUUUAAGUCCCUCCUUGGGCUGUUGGCGAGGGUUCAAACCUCACCAGCAGCAAAAAAAAUCUAAGGAUUGUGCCAUAGCACUCCCUUGGUCUAGUUGGGUUUGUACACCCACUAGCCCCUACAAUAGCUUCCUUAGGCUCCCCCUCCCCCUAGAUUAGGAUAGCCCUAGAUUAGGAUAGAAUAAAUAAUACAAAUGUAUCGUAAGGGCAUCGUGAUGGACUGGGAUUCUUGCAAUUGACACAGCAAUUUCACCAUGCAAUUGAUCACCCUAGAUUGGUAUAAUUUGAAUUUGAUUAAUGGAUGAAAUUGAUCGCGGGACAUAACUUUCAUUUGGUGACAAAAUUUGUUUUCUUUUUGUACAUUAUUCUCGUAAUGUCAAGAUUUGCAAUUUCAAAUCAUAAUAUUGUAUCAUAUUUACGGGAUUUGUCACUAAAAAAAAAAAAGUAUCAUGCAACAAUUGCAAAGACUUGAAUCGCAUGGUGACAUGUAUAUUUGGACCGUGGAAGACUAAAGAUGAGAGAGCUCAACGCCUGUCUACAUCUGUUGUGUUAAUGAUUACGUUGUGUAUGUCGCAAUUGCAAAAGCCGGAAUCCCAUGGUGACCUGUAUAUUUGGACCUUGUGCGUCUAAAGAUGAGAUAGCUCCAUUCGAAUUCCAGAAUUAGUCCAAAAUUCCAGACAACUACAUAAUAUUUGUCAAUAUGCAUGUGGACGGAAAUACUUGCAAUAAGGCAGUAGAUAAGGCCUGCAACAAUCAUGAAAUAAUUUAUGUAACAAAAUUAAAAAAAACAAAAAGAAAUGCCUAGAGGCUAGAAAGAACGAUAGGAAAGGGAACCAAUUAAAUAUGAAAGUAUAUGUGGAGCUGUGCUUGGGCGGCCAUGAAUAUUAUUAUCAUAAGGGAUCAUCAUUUCUACUAUUUAUUUCUGGUGAGAAUUUCUCUUCUAGAAGAGAAGAAUGUGCCAAAUAUCACUUUAGCCUUCCAUGAAACUUGAUAGUUGUUUUGCAAAGAACAAGAGCCCACGAGUGUAUACGGUUGAAUCCAAACUUCGCUGUGAGCUACACGAGUGUAUUUCAAGUGUCGUCACUUUGAUUUUUGUUUUAUCUUCUGACUUGUGUUUUUACUUAUAUUUUCCUUCAAGAAAGAAAAAUCCAAAAGCAUGAAGUUUAUCAGCCCAUAUAAGUAAUGAGCUAAGUUAAAGAUGGAGCCUUAGGUCCUUGAUUCGAACUUUGCUGAAGAUGGAGUCAUAAGUCCGUGGUUCGAACUUUGCUGCCAGCAAGUUGCGGAGAGUGAGGAAUAGUCUGCGGGAUCCACUUCUUGCGGGACACCCCUAAAAAAAAAUACUCGUGACCUUCUUGUCAUUGGAUUGCUAAUUUUUAAAAUUUUUAUUGAAAAAUAUAUUAUAAAGAUUUGAUGUAUGUAAAGUAAAAAAACGAUUUCAAAAAUGAUGUAUUUAUGAAAAACGUAAAAGUUUUUUUUGAAAAAAGAAAAAAAACUGCAAUUCAAACAAGCCUUACAUCUUGACGAUUCCAAGUGACUUAGGAAAUUAACUCAAGGAUAAAUUUGGUUAGACAAUUGUGAUGCCAAAGUGAUGCACCACCUUCUUGAAGAAGCAAAACCCUUUAUUAGACAUAGACAAACAACCAAAAAAAUACACACAUAAAAGGAGAAGAAAGCUGGGAGAAAAUAGCAAAAAUCAAACAAACAACCAUACUAUAUCCUGUUGCCCAAACUCUAGAUUGAGGCUUCUAUCGUUUUGAAAAAAUUCACGAGGAUCAUGUUACAUUUGCACUCACAAUAAUUGGUUGGAUGAAACAAGUCAUGAAAGCUACUGCAUGAAGGUAUCAGUGUAAAUAAAAAGUCUCACCCUUUUUUUUUCUUUUAUUUUUUAGUAAGGGACAUGUGAAAUUUAAGGAGUAUGGAGCGAGAGGAGGAUUUUAAUUCAAUACUUCUAAUUUUUGAAAUUCAAUCUUAGCCAUUAGACGUGAAGUCUCCUUUAUGUUAGCAACUUAACAAAUAACGACAAAAAGAAUGUAAUCAAAUCUUUAAAGGGAAAAAAGUGAAAUGGUAACAAUCAAGUCAUUUUGUGCAACUGGAGAUUAUAAAAAAAAAUAGAAAAUAAAUGAAAAAAAAAAAACUGGUAUCCAAAAAUAAGAAAAUAAAAAAAUGCAUGCAAAGAAAAAAUCCAAGGCACGAAAACCGUUGCCAACAACUUCUUUGCAUCAUGGACAUAUCAUAUUUCGCGUUGACCCUCAUUUUCAAUAAGUUACUGCAUUAUGGGUACAAGUUGAAACUGCAUUUUUGCUUCUACUUAGUACCUUUCGGUUUUCAGAAUUUUUCACCCCCAGAGAUCCUACGAUCUUUCAAGAGCUUGCUUCAAAAUUUUGAUUUUAGGGGCCAAAAGUACCUCAAAUUUCUAAAAUAUGAAGAUUGUGCGGAGCUUAUUUACACCAUUUUUGACAUUGUGAAAUUUACAAAAUACUACUAAAAAUGUUACCUAUUGUACAGAAUGAUUGAAGAUUCUUUACUAAACAUUUCACAGCAGACAAUCGUCCUGCCCCACAUAACAUGUUGCUGCAAAAUGGACCAAUCUGGUAGCAACCAACUUGCAUCUCUGAUUUAUUUUAUUUUGUUAAGUACCCCCAAACACUUCAGAGGUAUCACCUGACAGAUAUGAUUGUUUGUUAGAAUCCCAUCAAAGGUCGUCUGUCCUAAACAGUAACACACAACAUUAUUGCCUUCAAUGAAUGCAGUUCCCAGUAACAAUUUUUUCUUCUUUGGGAGGGGUAAUGACUUAAUACUGUCUUUUAUUUUCAAAUUUUAAACUCAUGAUUGAAUUAUUAUGUCCUAUUCCUUUUUCAGUCUCUAAAAAUACUCAUGUUUUUUCCAUAGACAGAAGAAACACACACACAGUUAGAUUAGAAACACUCAGGAGUCAUCACCAAGAAGGACCCUAAAGUCAGUCUAAAAAUACUCCUGUUUGGAUUGCUAUUUUUAGGGGAUUUUAUAGAAAAAUGUACUAUAGUGAUUUGAUAUAUAUAAGAUAAAAUGGUGAUUAGAACAUGCGUUCACGAAUUGAAAUCUUUAGAAGAUUUUAUAUAAUACUGUACUAUAAUGAUUUGAUAUAUGUGAGGUAGAAAAAUAAUUAAAAAAUGUAUUCACGAAAAAUAUGAAAUUUUUUCUAGAAAAGAUAACAAUCCAAACAAAAACGGCUUGUAAUGGAAUGUGUGGCUGAUUCUAGUCAUCCCAUUCCCCGAAAAAAAGACAAGGCAAAGAGAAUAAAAGAAUGGAUGACUAGAUUCUGCACUGUAUUACUACAAUUUUACAAGAAUAGAUCAGUUGAAAUUAUAAAAAAAGAAAUCUAAUGCAAGCCUUGGUUCAACAAAUAUUGAAAUCUGAAAUUCAAAAUCAUGAGACGUAGAAAUUUUUUUAUCAUAUUUAUUUUUAUGUAAAUCACUUGUUCCAUGGAAGAUCAAUUUCUAGUAUCACUCUAAUUCAUAUACUCCCUCCAUUACUGUUAUAAUUCAACUUUUCUUUUGAUAUAAUAGAACAGAACUGUACACAUACAAGAGAACAUUCCCUAGUGUUGGCAAACCCUCUCACUAAUCUAUUGACUAUUGUACGUUUACCUUACAUCACUAUUACAAUCGACUAAUAAAAAAUUUUUGAGUUAAACCCCAUUCCAUUGCAAGAGCUCGGGUGCAAUAAGGCUUACCAAUUUAAAUUUUACACAAAACAUUAGUUGCUUUUUAUUUUUUCCGUUUCAAAGAAAUAACUUUUCGAGAUAGAAGAACACAUUUACCACUUGAAAAUUUUGAAUUCUUAAGUUACAUAUAUCUGAAUUCUUUUCAUACCAUCUCAUAAUAAAGGUGACUCUAACGCUAGGACGGAAAGAGUACGUAACUGUCUUUUGGUGUGGACAUCUUGUCUUAUAAGCGUCAACCACUCCAAGCCGUACUAACCAAGGAAUUGUGUUGGUUUCUUUUGCAAAAUUUCUACUCUCAGUACGGGAUAUAUUAACAAUUAGUGAUUAAGGCACACUCGCUAUGUGUGCAACAAUAAAAACAAGAAUAUAUAUAAAAUUAUUUCAUGAAAAUCUAAGCAUGAAAGGAGAAAAUAUUGUAUGGAUUGAGGUAAUUUAGAAAGCAUGAAAAAAUGAAGAAAGAAAAGAAAAAAAUCGUGACAAAUAUUUUAUUUCAUAUUUCUAUCUCAAUCAUAAAUUUAGAUGAAAUGUAACCUAUAUCGCAAGACGUUUCACUUGCAACUGGCAGGUUACGGGUUCAAGUCAUCAAGAGGAUAAGUAAAGAAUUACUGUUAAUCUUCUUUAAAAAAAGUCCGUUCAAUCCGACAGUUCAACUGAUCAACCUUGUAACCUAGUCAUUUAGUCAAGUUGGAUUAGUAGUUGGAACAGAUAAAAGAAGAAGCUGAUUGACUAGUCAAUUACAUAUCGAUUCAACUGAUAAAAUUCGAUACAUUGGCCGAUUCAACUGCCAAUUCAAUAAAUUGUAUUAUUUCAAAAAAUUUGAACAUACUAUUUUGUGAUAUAUAACUAUCGGUUCAACCAAUAGACAUGUAGAGAACCAUUAACCUGUUAAACCGAUUGCCUUGCUGGUUUAUGUCCUAGUGGGAUUUAAUAGCCAUGGUUAACACUUCUGCUUUAAUAUAUAAAUUUGAAGAAUGUCAGAAAUAAAUGUGGAGAUGUUGUAAAUAAAAAUAGAGAAAUUAACAGAGUAAAAGAUGGGAAGACAGGGUAAAAUAGUGACACAUUUUAUAACACUAUAAAGGGCUUCGCACUGAGUCUAAACGGGCCAAAGUCGAUUAAUCCUUUCUAUCCAAUUGGCAAUUGCAACAUCUGAUUGAUAUCAUCACCACAUAAGCCAAAUCGACAGAGGUUCGGUUUCAGUUACAAAACAACAAACGCUAUUGUUAACAAAUUGAGAUUCUGAUGAGCCAUAUUGGAAAGGAGGGGUAAAGAAUAAAAGAAACAGGCAAGAAAAGUUGCAGUUCAUGGAGAAUUAUUGUGAAGUACUAUGAUGAAAGGAGUAACUAGCAAAAUGAAAAUUUUUGGACAAACUUCAUUCAGGCAUUGGCGGAGCUCUUCUGUUCUCGAAGUACAUGUCCGAGUAAUACGUGUCUUGGCGGACUUUGUUUUUCUUCUUAUCAUGUUGUAUGGAAUUAUUGAUAUAGUCCUUUGCCCCCCAUCAUCUUCCAAAUAUUUGGUCCAAUCAUUUGUCCAUUGUCAUCUUAAUCACUGUCUUAUUCUUUGGAGGUGGAUCUUCCUUCAUAUCCGGGGCAAAAAGAUGUCGGUUUGAGUGUCGUUUACUUGGAUAUUCAAGAGACCCCCACCCCCCCCACAACUCUUUAAGUCCUCCAUAGCCCUUGUCCGUGUCUCACUCUAUACACAAAGACAAAUGGCCAACAGGGACUGCUCAUUUUGGAUGCCUUCGUGUGAUUUGAUUGAAGUUAUCCUCGAGGCACUUUGUAUUGGAAAAGUUACUUUAAUUCUCCACUACUCUCCAAGCACUCCUUUAGAUUUGGCAAGCGUAAUAUACAAAUUAACAUGGGCAUGACUUUUGGACUACAUAAAACUUGUUCUCUUAUAUAUGAGCUAGUCUAAAUGCAUGACACAUAAUUUCUAUUCAAAUUUAAAAUUUUUUUUGUGUGCAAAAGAAGGAUAGUAACUUAUUUGCAAAAAAAAAAAAUAUAAACACAUUUUCAAUCAUCUUUUCAUCUUUUUAACUAGCUUCUCAUCCCAUAUACAUCAGAUUACAAAAAAUAUUACAGUACUUUUUCAAAAAAAUUAUUCCAAAUAAUCUUCUAUCCAAACACACUCCUUAUUUUGUACAAUCGUCCUUACACCUGCAUCUUCUCGUGUUGAAAGAUGUCUAUAUAUUGUCAAUGUAAGACAAAUAAUAAAAAUAGUUGAAAAACUUACCUCAAGUAAUAAUCACCGUAACGAUCCUUACGAGGUACAAAAAGAAGAAAAAGAAAAAAGAAAAAGCACUUUAUUUUAACCCACAGUCACACUCUGAUGAUCAUUUGCAUCCCCAAACCCAUUUAAAGGAGCACAAACCCUAACUAGUGACAGUGCCUUGUCAAAGUGUUUGGCUUUGGUGCCAAGAUACUCAGUCCAAGUGACUGGCCUGUAUAGAGGAGGGCGGCCUUGGUCUACCAGUUUUUGAAGUGGUGAAAUUGUAACACCGGAUGGGGGCCCAUAAAGAUAAGCUACGGAGAACCGAUGUCGGGUCCGGUUCACGACGGCCCGGUGCAGUACACUAGGGUACAACCCGUUGGAUAGUAUGUGAAGGAGGUCCCCAAUAUUGACCACCAGAGCUCCGGGAAGAGGAGGAACCGUGACCCAUCCGGCCCCGCCGUCACGGAGCACCUGUAAACCACUGGUGUUAUUCUGGUGGAGGAUGGUAAGUAUGGUGGAGUCGGUAUGCGCAGCUAGACCCAUGGCCCGGUCGGGCUCCGGACAGGCCGGGUAAGAGUUCAAUUGAAUGGCAGCAUUUCCACCUUCAAAUGCUCCUUUAGGGCUAGCCCAUUUCACCUCUUCCUCGGUUACGCCCAGUGACCCAAGAAUUAACCACAUCAGCUUCCCCGCGAGCUUUUUCAUUUCCUUCUCGUACUCUUUCAUUACAUUGCUGCAGUAAAAAUUAAAUUAACUGAAAGUUAAUUGAAGAAGUUGUUUAAAGAAAAACAGCAUGCCUUUUUGUAUUCAUUCAACAACAGACUAAGAGGAGAAGGGGCAAAAGGGAAUCUUAAUUUUAGGAAUCUUAUCUAUCUAGCUAAAUUCCAUAUCUUAAUUGUGGGACCAUGUCAACUUUGAUAUAGGUAAUCUUUACCUAUUGGAUCUUAUUGGAUCAAGGAGAUUGUCAUGUACUUCCCUCAACUCAAGUCCCAAAUCGAUAGUAGAAAUGACCCCAAAAUUCAUCCCAAAAAAAUUAGAUGAACAUAUUCUACAUUUGCAAAAUGGAAAGUGAAAAUCAAUUUAUACACGUGCAUGAGUAGGUAAGGAUGGAUGUAUACCAGAAUUUAUGGUAAUCAUGGGGCCAAAGUUGACGUGCAUGUUCCAGUGGAGAACCAACAAUGGUGAACCCUUCGGACCACAUAAGUUUAGGGAAGAAUGAAGAAAUACGAGCGACUCCAUAGCCAGAGACCCCCUCAGGGGAACGAGCAGCUUUAAGUUUUUGAUGCAUGGGGAGCGAGAAAAGUCCUUUUCCGGCAGACUCAAUUUCCUCGAGCAAGUUCUUGGAGAUGCCAUGGUUUUUGACUUGGAAAACGCCCCAUGUUCUGCAUGCAUGGCCGAGUAAAUCCUGGGCAUUUUUAUCAGCCAGAUCAACAACAGGAACCGUCUCAACGUUGAGUAAUUCGCCACGAGGGUAGUCGUCCUUUGGCGGAGCCGUAGUCCAUGCAUGGGAGUCAGGUAACUUCUUGACUCUGCUUAAGUCCAACUGUUUAUGGUGGAAGUAGACAGGCUGAGCUCUCAUGCUAUCUGAAGCCCUUGAUGGCAUUGUUUAUAGCUAGGUCAAGAAACAGGAAGAUUUUAAUCAGAAAUUGAUGUAUGGAAGUUGCAAUACUCCGGCAAGGGGCGGCGCUACGGGUGGAGGUGGAGGGACUAGGGAGACUUGUGAUGUAAGUAUCUUGUGAGAAGUGAGAAAGAAUUGAUUUUAUGCAAGGGAAUUGAUGGUGUCUGCCUUGUAUAUUUAUAGGGAUGAGGGGAGAAGAUGGUGACGAGGUGGAUACAAAUAGUUGAUCUAUUGGAGAUUAUGGAGUAGCAUAAUUUUUGUUGUUUUUGUUAUUAUUUUUAGUUUACCUUUUAGUGGUCUAGGGGUUAUCAAAUUUUGGAAGGGACAGAAGUGAUAGAAGGUUAGGCAGUCAUUUACUAAUUUUGUAGUGGACAAGUGAAAGAAGAAGUAAAGAUAGACCAUCAUGUCCUACAUGAAAUAUGAAGAAAAGUAUAAAUUGCCAUCUCAUCGCUCAAAACAAUAAAUUAAAAUAAAAAAAAACCAAAAAAAAAAAAGGGCAUCUCAUCUCACAUUAACCAAGCUGCUAUUCCAUGAGAGGACUGAGGAAAGAGUCAAUCUCUCUCCAUGUGGCCGUGUCUUGUCUUCAAGUAGAAAAACAUCUACAUCACCCUCUUCACUGCUUGGUCUAGAUCUCUCUUGGCUAUAGGACAAGGAAUACUAUUUUGCCAUAGCUUUUCUUCUUUGUCCUUCUCUUCUUAGUUAAAAAAUUGAGGAUAUAGGGAUUCUAAAAUUAAUCGCAUGUACUAGUAGUUGAUAUAGGGAUGGUUAUUCUGUCCUAUGUCACUCCUGUAUAAAGGGCUUUAAGAAAUUGAUUCAGAUUGAUUACGAUUAUCCAAUCAUUUGUGAAGAUACAUAUAUCCUACGAUGUAUUCAGUCAAACUUUUAUCAAGGGGAGGGUCUAUAAUUAAUUUUGGAAAGUUACAGACUACUACUCUUAGUUACCACAAUUUAUUAAUGUUAUCCUAUUUCAUUAUGUCUACUUUCACUCGACUAUCUAAUGUCUCCAAUGGUACGAGAAACGAUGACAAUUGAGGGAGUUUAUAUACAUACAUCUAUAACUUACAUCUUAUGUGAUGCUAAUGUUUGAUGUUUGCCUUACCCUUUUACCCUUUUGUACGGAUGAAUCCUCUAUUUAUCUUAUAUGAUGCGCUGCUUUGGAUUGGUAGGGGACCCUAAAAAUUGUUAAGACCUGUUUUGGUGCCCUACAUGAUCUGGGCAGGAGGUGAUAGGAGACCUAUUUUGGGCUUAGUCGUUCAAAAUUCGAAUCCGACUGUGACAAACAAGAUAACACCUAAUAAAGAAAAAACCGCAAAAAAUAAAGAAAUAAAGAAACAGAAAUCAAAAGAAAAUUAAAAAGGCCAAUUUUGUUUCCUUGUGUUUUUAUUUUUCCAGUCAAACUCAGCAUUAUCAAAUUCAUCCGAGUCAAUAACUGGCCAAAUUUUUUUGGUUUAGCCGGACCAAACAACCAACCGUUUGAUUCUCGGUUGAACCGGUUGAACCGACUAGGCCCAUACAAGUUUUAUGAACCGCUUUUGUACGAUGGGGGAUGGGCAUUAUUGUCCUGCCAAAGACAAAAAAUAAAAAUAAAUAAAUAAAAAUCAGGCAUCUUUCGUGCUUUUUCUUCUUUGCAAUUGGUCAUUUCGGUGAUAAGUAAUAAAGUUACUUUUGGUAUUUUGCGGUUUAGAUUUGCCGUCUUUUGUCCCAUAGUAGACCCAAGAGUCGGACCAUCUCUAAAUCAUCAUCUUUAAUCGAAGAACAGAAUUGAGACUGUUUUGUCUUAACAUUCGCAAAGGGGUCAUUUUCUGAUUAUGUGUCAUGCUUAUGCAAAUUAAAGUCUUUUACACUAGAAUUCUGUGUCAAAAAUAAUUGCUCACAGAAAAAUCUUUUACUAACCCCAUGUAAGAACUAAUUCAUAUGCUACUACUCAUCUGUAAGGGUGUGACAGCUUGGUCCACUAGCAUCUGAUUGGACUGACAGAUGCAUUAUAUUAAGUAGACAUGAUUAGAGUUGGAUAACCAUUUUUCUAUCUCUGUCUCAAUUGGUUGCUUUCUGAACCAAAACAGCUAACUUGUGGAUUGUAUUGUAUGCAUACGAAAGAAAUGGGCAGCUGUUGCGAUGCUCAAUUGCACAUGUUCCUGCCGAAUGGACCAAGCAGGUCGCAGUCAACUUGCACCUCUCAUUUAUUUUUGUGGCAUUAAGCGAAACGUGAACAUAGGUUUCAAAGCAAAUGGUAUGGCCCCUAGAAUUAACUUUAUCUGAAGAAAAGGAGGAAAAAUAGGAUGUAGUUAUAGAAUGAGACAUCUUUCUCUUUAUUUUUAUCGCUUAAUUCGACUAAUAGCCGUAUUUUAUAUCUUUUUUAUUUAUUGUGUUUACCUCCAACUUCAAGAAGUCGAAAUUUUUUGGCACGAUAAUAGUAUUGAGCAGCAUCCGUUUGAAAUUUUGAAUAUGGUGCUGCACCAUGUCCAACGUGCAAGACCCAAAAACAAAAACCCCACAAAAAAAAAAAGAGAUUCAUUGUACGUGUCUUGUAUUACUUUGAUAAUUAUUCACUCAGAAAGGAUUGACAAAAGGCUGCCAGUGGUAUAUGUUGGUGAUUUUCAAUGUCAUUUUAAGCAGAGGUUAAUCCAAAGAGGUUGGGGUACUUAGAAACUCGUGUUCGUCUAAGAAAAACUCAGACAAGAAACUACCUAUGAGUGUAGAUUAAUUUUUUUUACACCAACAAUGUAAUAUUUUGUUUACAUUACUAAGUGUAAACGCGUUACAUUGUUCCAAAUGAAUUUCAAAGUUGAAAAAAAGCUUAUGUAUGUCGUACAAUCAAACUCGCUAAACAUGCAUAAUAGGAAAACCUUUACAGUAUUGGCGUCCAAAUAUGGGAAUAAAUUUUCUAGGUUAUCAAUGAUAGCAUUUGGGUUGCUAUGUUUUUAUUUGUAAUGGUAUGUGACGAUUUUUUCUACAAAGGUAGAACUUGAUAGAAUUUGAUUUUGUUACCUGCAGAGUACAAUGAAAUACAUCAUUCAGAGAUGGAGACGUGCUCUUGGUGUUAAUGUCUGUGGCAGUGGCCUAGAUUCCUAUGUGGUAGGAAGGUGGCGGCUAUGGUCUGCAGUUUGGGGUGUGGGAUUGAUAUAAUUGAGGCUGUGCACUUGCUAAAGGUUGAUCCAACAUUGUAGCCAAGCUCUUUUGGGUACUUGAUGUGAAGGUUUCAAGUUGAUUCAAUUAUUUGCCGUGGAAGCCUAUAGGUAACAAAGGGAUUUUGGGGCUGCUCAAAUCUGCUGGAGUUAGUUUAGAACUUUUGUAAUUGACCAAUUGAAUUUGAGAACUUGUUGGAUUGGUUUGGAGGAGUGAUAGGCUUGUAGCAAGCAAGGAUGAAGCAAUGAAGUAGAUACAGAGGACCAUUCUUUUCCCCUUUUUUGUGUUUUUAAUUAUGACCACAAGGUUAUUUUAGAAUUUUUGAAAAAAAAAUAACCUUUUAGGUCUACAAUAUUAUUGAAACUAUGAAAAUAUGUAGAGGUGUGCAAAAUCGAAAAAUUUUGAUUUACCGAUCGAAUUCGAAUUGAAUUCGAAAAUUUGAAUUCGGUAAUUUGGUGAUUCGGAAUGAAAAUCGGAAUUUCGAUUUCGAAUUGGUCGAAUUCAGUAACGAGAUUUUUCAAAUCGAAAUCGGAAUUCAGAAUUCCUAUUUCGAUUUCAAAUAUGUUUUUCAUAUAUAUAUAUAUAUAUAUAUAUAUAAUAUAAUAUAACAUUUAUAUUAUAAUAAUAAUUUUUAUAUUCAUGAAUUCGGUGAAAUCGGAAUUCCUAUUUCGAUUUCAAUUUCGUUUUCACACAUAUAUAUAUAAUAUUUUAUAUAUAUAUGUAAUAUAAUAUUUAUAUAAUAAUAAUAAUAAUUUUUAUAUUCAUGAAUUCGGUAAAAUCGGAAUUUACCAAAUUCCGAAUUGAAUUCGGAACGAAUUCGAAUUCGAAAUCUAAAUCGGUCGAAAUUUUUUAUACCAAAAUUUCGAAAAAUUUCGAUUUCAAAGUUUCGAAUUACCGAUUUCGAUUAUGAUUCACACCCCUAAAAAUAUGAGAGGUAGAUGUAAUUUGUAAACCUUGAGGGGAGCUACAUGCAAUUGUCAUAAGCUGUAGGGAAGGUUUGUGAUGUUAUCCCCAAAAUUCAUACAACUCUCCAAAGUCUAAAUGAAUACAAAUCUUGCCCUAAGAAGAAUCUUCUUACAUCUGAGCCAAAUUACAAUGUCUACUCUGUGGUUUGAGCAAAAUCAACAAAUUAAAAUCAAACUUCUUGCAUGUAAAAGCAUUUAACAAAUAUUCACUCACGUUAACUGUCAUUAAAAAUAUUAUCAAAAGAUAUGUUUGAAAGUCCCAAAAACCUAUUUGAAGUUUGAUUAUUUACAUUUACCUCCAUGAAUUCGGUCAAACAACUAAACGCACCUUAUAUUUUGAUCCAUUCAAUAUCCAACUCUUUGGUUAGCCAAACUAUUAUCAGAUAGACAUUCUCUAUGGUCAAUUUUAAGUAAUGUCAACGAAAGUUUUAUUGGAAUUUCAAAAGUAAGAACAAAAACUCAACUUUCAAUUAUUAACCUAAACAAAAACAAUUUUGGACCAAAUUGCCAAGUUUAUUGAGCUAAAUUUUCUCUUUCCUAUACUUAAUUCUAUAUGCAAAAUUAAUGAAUGAUUUCUGUAUGAAUUAGUGGGUUGGGAGAGUAUGAUAGCAAAUCAUAUGCGUCUAAAGCAAGGAAAAAGAAAUGUAAGGAAGUACUUUUUAUAAUUAAUUUUUCCAUUUGUUUAAUGUUUGAUGCUUUUAUGACUAGCAAUUGGUUGAUUUAUUUUAAUUUUAGUUUCGCUUUUUCUUUUUGGAUGUAUGUCAAGGACUUUCUGUGCAUAAUUUGCUAUUCAAAAGCUUUAGGCUACAUGUUUCUCAAACUAUAGGAGUCCAUUUUAUGAUUUGGACAAAUUUUAAAGGAGAUAAAUUUAUUAUUAGAAAAAAGAGGCAUUCUCAUUAUUUCCUUUGGUUGGGUUUGUGGUCGGUCGCUUGUAGGGGGUGAAUGUAAUUCGGUUAAACUAUAGAGUUUAUCUGGUAAACUUAGGGGAGAAAAAGGUAACAAACUCAACAAAAAAUAAAAAGAAACUCAUAAACUUUUAACUAAAUUUGUUGUUGUCACGUAGAGUAGCACAUAAAGUAGCAAAACAAUUCAAACGAGUGUUCAUAUAGCAACAAACAUUACCGACCCUGGAAAUCGCAUUCGAUCCUGAGCCCCCCUUAAAAGAGUCUUUUAUCGGAUCUCACCCUAAAAUUUUGAUACCUAUAACAAGUUUGACAUCUACAAACAAAUUUUUUUUUUUCAUAAUAGGAGUAGUGAUUUUUUAGAAUUCCAAGUAAAUCACCAAUUAUUUGAGAGUGAUUUUCUGGAAUUCCAAGUCAAUCACAGAUAUUCAAAUUAAAGAAAAAAAGGUGUAAAGAGUGACGGAAAAUAUCGAAUGCUGAGAGGGUUGAGAAUAAUUCUGAUUAUGAAUUUAGGGUUUAUAGAUUUUUGUUUAAUGUGAUUUCUCGUUAGUUGGAUCAUUGAUACACUGGCUGGAUUUUGUAAUAUUCAAGAAGAGGGAAUAGCCAAAUAGGUUUUGAGAUAGGAUUAGACUGAUGAAAUCACGUGAGUUGUUACGGGGUAAAAUUGGAUUAAUUAAAUCCCGUGAGCUGUUACAAGUGUCAAAUUUUCAGGGACUCCCUAAGGGAGCUGAGGAUUGGAUGCGCCUAGAAAUGUGUAAAACAAAUAUUAAAAUUGGUUAGUAAAAGCAAAAUAUCUUCUGGCCUUUGGGCAGUAAUUUGCUGCCACUAUUGAAACGACAAAGUGUAGCCAUCCAGCAAAACUGUGCAAGGAUACAAGCUUUCAGUUUAUCAUAACUGAUCAUAAUACUACAAAUGCAGGGUAGAUUGUUUGAACAUGCACGUCGAUCAAAUGGAUAAGCCUAUCAGCCAUUCAAGGUUCCAUGCAUGGUUGCAUGAUUUGUAGUGCCGACUGCCAAUCUUGCCCUUGUACCAAGCAUUUUAAAAUAUCACCAACCAUAUGGGAUUUCUCUGACAUAUUAUUGCGGCUCAAUCAUCAUUUUUCCAGAUUCUCUAUCUAUACUCUCGUGCAUGUAUGUAAUUCUUCAGGGGCUACUUUCAUUAGAUCAAAGUUUGACAGUGUCACAAAAUUUUGCAUUGUAUUAACACUCUAAUUUUCUCGUUUUGCCUUUUUCCUACCUUUCCACCCCUCCUUAUACCCUCUCAUUCCAAACUGCAAGAAAUAUAGGAUUCGACCCUUGAUAGUGGAGAAGACUUUAGAAGUCCUUCCCUAAAUACUUACCUCAGUGAUUUACUCUUUUUUCUCAUUGGAGAACCAUGAUUUGAAUUAUUUUGUCCUCAUCUUCUUUCCAUUCUUUAUACUCAUUAACAUACCAAUCAAAAUGGCUCGUGAGACACUAGAAGACGUUGUUGAUUCUAGUCCUCAUCAGUCAUCCUCAUCCCAUACCCAAGUUGGACCUCCCUGCAAUUCCCGAAGGAAAAACACGACAAAAGAGACUGAAAAAGAUUGGAUGACUAGUUUCUGCGCCGUACUAAUACAACUUUGCUAAGAUAGAACAGAGGUCGUAAAAAAUUUAGAGCACGAAAAUCUAAAUAAACCGGAUCUUAAUUCGACAAAAGGCGAAAUCUCAAGUUGGAAGUCACAAGGCACCCAAAAAAAUAACUAAAUUUGUGCAAGAUGCGUGAACCACUCGAAUCUUGAAUUUUUUUUUUUUUUUUUUUGUAAUUUUUUAAAACAGGGAAUGGAUGCAAUUUAAUAUAGCAGCUUUUCCAAGCAAGCCUCUGGAAUCUCCUGUAAACCCCCAUGAUUUGGUAAAGGGAGGAUAUUAGGGGAAGCAGUGAAGCCCAACAGUUAGCAUCCUCCCCUUUCUCCUAAAAGGUUGAAGCUGAAGUGGAACACACCAUUAAGAAAAAAAAAAAAAAAAGGAGUUCUGCAUCUCUCCGGCGCCGAGGGAACAAAUGGGCGUGGGGAUGAUUCUUCUUCCAUUCCAAGCUUAUCAACGUCGUAACAAGGUAGCUCUAGGGACAAAAUAUGGCUAUAGAUUGAAUCCUUUUUAUUUAUUGUAUUAUGAUAUUUAGAUAUAUAGCUAUGCUUAGGGGUAUGGAACUUAGCAAGGUUUCUCGAUCAACUGCUCCUGGGGAAUCCCCCAAGAUUUCAGGCAACUCUGACUCAGAAGCACAAAAACUCUGCUUGCUGGAAGCCCAAUUCUCAAAAAUCACGGGAGAAAGAAAGAGAAAUUCAGCAAAAAAGAAACUCAAAACCUCUAAUUCUUGGAAACCGUAGUCACCACUCCUGAAUACUUGGCCCAAGGUACUCUUUUGGUUUCAUCUGCGAAAUAUCUACUCUCAAGGACGGGUGAGGAUUAACAAGAUCCAGGCCAGUGUGUUUCUUAACGGGGACAAAGUUGAUUAAUCCGUUAAAUCCAAUAUGCAAUUGCGCCAUCUGAAAUUAUUACUAGAUAAACACAGUUGGCAAAGCAUUCAAUUUCAGUUGCAUAACAACAAAGAGGAUUGUCGGGGAUAGACAUCAGAAAUUUGGAACAAGAAUAUCUAAAUGCGAAUCUUGCUAUGACAAAAGAGUGCAGCCUCAAAUUGAAAGUCAUAUAAAAAUGUACUAUAUUUUGAGAACAUGGAUAGAACAUGGAUGAAAAAUUACAAUAUGCAAUGUAAAAUAUUUAUCUUUAUUUUUCACAAAAUAUACUACUUUAAUGUGCAUAGUGUAGUCAAUGUCUAUGUAUAAUACACUACACCUACAAACAUAAAGUACUAUUCUUUUUCUAUAUUUUGUAUGUAUAAUAUUUUCUUGUAUUGAAAAUGAAAAAAUAUUUAAAUAUAAUAUGCAAACCAUGUUAUUUUUAAUAUAGCUAUUCAGAAAAAGUACACCUUAAAGAUGAUUCUCUGAAACAAUUGAGGGGAAACUAUCAUAUACAUUAUCAUCAUUCAUUUUUUAUAAAGUGGAUGAUUUAAUACUUUACCUGCAUGCAUGAUUUUAAUAUAUAAGAUUUUGAUCUAAUAGUGCAUUAAAUUUGUUGAAGUGAAUCAUUUUUGUUUUUCUUUUCUACUACUUACUUUUCCUUUUUUUUUUUUUUUUUUUUUUGCUUUUCACUUUCCAUGUGACUAUUUUCUUCACUUUCCCAUUAGUAUUAUUGCUAAUUGUGUGCUUAUUUAAAUAUUUUAUUUUUCUCUUACUCAUAAUUUCAUUCUUACUUUGAUUCAUUAACUUAUUUAUUUAUAGUAUUAAGAAAUUCAUGAUAAACUAUAUAGCAUGACAAAAUAUUAAAUACAUGCCAUAAUCACAAGAGUAUAUAACUAGUAAUUUAACUGUUUAACAGAUAUUAGCAAACUAGAAUCUUUAUUAUAUAUUUCAGAGUAUAUGCCAAAUAAAUAAAGUAAGUAGUAUUCAUAUGAAUUUUAUGCAUAGACAAUUAAAAGUUAUGUGAUUAUGAUCUAUUUAUUGGUUAUUUUUUAUUAUCAAUUAAUUAAUGUAAAUGCCAUAUGGAAUAGUCUAUGUGGAUAGCUAAUAUAGACUUUGUUAUAGUGUAGAAUUUGUUAUCCUUAUUACAUUUUAAAAAAAAUUAGCAAAAUAAAUGUGAGAUUUAAGAAGAGGGAGAGGGAAGGGGAGAUUUGUGAUUAUUAUUACUUCUAACAGGAAAAAGUAAAUAGCACUAUAAAUAAAGAAUAUAUUUAUGAAAAUUAAAAAUAAUACAUAGAUAAUAAUAAUAAUAAUAAUAAUAAUAAUAAUAAUAAUAAAGAAAAAAAGAAAGUAGUUGGUCACAUGAAAGAAGGGAGAAAAAUUGAAAACCAAAAAUAAAAGGGACAAAAGAAGAAAAGAUAUAUAAAAAUAAUUACUGCAAAGAACAGGCACUUUUGCUUUUUUUGUUUAAAUUUCCAGCAAGGGAGAUGCACUUUUAUCCUAAAACAUCAUGUAGGAGCGCAAAGUAUCUAUUGAAUGAGUUCAAGUAGGUAACAUGCAACUCGAGGCAAAGUUCAAAAGGAUUUUACUGCAUUCAACCCUAAAAGAAGUCACUAAAUAAUAUAAUAUACUAAUAUUAGAAUUGAGACUCUUACAGAGUUUUUUUUUUUUUUGUGCAUCACCACCACAACGCACUCCACCAAAGGCCACAAGAGAAUGAAAGCUCAAGUUUCAGAAUUUUUCCCUUUUGUAUAAUUUGAGUUCUGCCUCGUGUUGUCUCACUUAUUUUGAGCUUUAGAAAUAUGUCUUGAUCUUUGUAUUCUUCCUUAUAAUAGCAAAAUUUGCUCUCUUCCACUCUUUAGAAACAUCCGUCGUCUAUUUGACCGAAUUACAUAAAUCUUAGUGUCUUUAUCUUUUAUUAUUUUACAUUUUUAUUAUAGUUUUCAUUAUUAAUUGUGUGAGUAACCAAAUAACUUUUGGCCAAAUCCUAACACAUGUUAACUGAUCACAACAUCAUUUGGUUCGUGUCCUAAUGGAAAUUGACCAGUAAUGGGCAGGCCUAUAUUCUCCGGGAAAAUUCUGAUAGAAAAUCAUGAGCUCUCAAAAUUUAGUAAAUGUUGAACGAAAAUGAAAACUUAAUUCGCUUUUAUUAGGCCUUGGCGGGCCUUUCGGUGCAUCCUUGGUUUUAGAUCAUUUUGGGUUCAAAAUUUUCCUCAGUUUUAUUUGGGCCCAACAUAAUCGAGUCCAAACACCCUUUGGGCACUUGGUUUCCCAAUCUGAAAAGCUUUAAUAGCCCGAGAAAUACAUAAAUUCAUUAACUAUCAAGGAACAGAAUGGAUUAAAUGGCAUAUGCAUUACUGAAAAUUAGAAUUUCAAUAGAAGAGAAAGGACGUCCAACAACAUCAGGAGCAAUUCUUUUAGGCACAACAAUGCCAAAUUAUCUGCAGAGUAUGAAGCUCUUCUCAAUGAUUUUUGCAUACUCUUCCAAGCUCCCCAAGCUAGUUGCUCAUGUAGUUGUUGCUAUAACUGAAUCAAUAUGUUACCAGUAGAUUUAUGAUCAUUCUUGAAAAUACAAAUCCGUGCUACAGUUAGAGGGUCACAAAGAAAAAAUUGUCCUUGUCACUGAAAACGAUUUUAGUUUUUUGUUAUUAAGGAUUACAAACAAAUACAACAUCUAGGUAAAGUCAAUGGAUAGCGUUCAGGUUGAAUCUGAUUGAUCCAAAUCCAAGCUCACUGCAUUUGUCAAUUACCGAGACCCUCAUGGUUAGAAAAUUCUAACUCGAAACCUUAUGGAUCUAGCUAGCCAUUGGGUAUGAACAUGUAUUUCUUGAUGUGCAAUUAGAAAUAAGGACAAAAUACUCAUAAUCCCCCCGUACUUCUGAAUGAUACCACAUGAUCUCCCCAAGGUUAUAAAAUGUUCACUUAAUCCCCUGUGAUUUUUAUGUAAAUUGAAAAUUUGAUGAAAAAUAGUUUCCGUAACAUCAUCAGUUGAAAUGCUAGUGUCGGACUUACUUGAAUACUAAAUUAAAUAAUGGCCUAACCAUUUUGCUUACCGUCAUAAUGGGAUUAUGUGGAUAGAUGCAAAACUACAAGGUGAUUAAGUGGAUAUUUAUCCAAAACUAUAGAGGGUUAAAUAGAUAUUUUAAAAUAGAUAUCCAAAACUACAAGGUGUGUCUCGGUCAAUUGCUAUAACCAGAAAUUUUUCAUCUAUUUUUCACUUUAUAUAAAACCAAAGGAGGAUGAUAUAUGGACAUUUUGAAACAUUAAAGGGCGUCAUGUGAUAUCAUGCAAAAGAAAGUACAAGGAGUUACAAAUCAUUUACCCUGAAAACAAAUUCAAAAAAUAAUAAAAACAUAUGAAAUUCAAAGAUAACAAACCUAUAAUCCAAAUGCCAUUUUCAAAUAACAAAAUCAACAUUUUAUACUAUAUAUAUCUAUGUAUGUGUGUGUGUACACACACACAUAGACCAUACAAAAUCCAAACUUGUAAUUCUUUCACCAUGUCUCAAUUCAGAUAGGGUGUAGGUUUGAAAAAUUGGAAAUCAACCUAGGAAAAUAAUGAGGGAUCUAGAUAACACUCAUCCCAUUGACGUGGGAGUUAAGAUCUUCUCCAUUAGAUUUCUUUAAAUAUAUUUAAAUUACUAUGACUUUAUAAAAUUAUCUGAUUAUGUCAUUACUUUUAUUUUAAUCUCUAGAUCAACAUACUAAAAAAUAAUAUUGCUUUGAGAAUGUUUUGGCAUUUAAUUUAUACUAAACAUUUGAAGAGUGAAAAAUGAGUCACAAUAAUAAACAAAUUUAUAGUGAUUAAUCAAACGAUAAAAUUUAGUCAAUUUCAUAUGAAAUUUUAUAUAUAACUUACACAAGUGAGGAAAUGGUGUCCGACAGCUUUUUCAAUUCCAAGAUCAUUUUGUUCACAUCUCUCACUGUUUUCGUCAAGCUAACCUAGUUGUAGAUAUCCUUUCUAAUGUUGGGUGUGUAGAUGUUUUGGACAAGUAUUGCAAUGGCAAAAAGUUACGGCAUGAUUCUCAACAGCUUCUACAAGCUUGAAGCAGCCUAUACUGACUUCUGGAACAGAUGCAUUGGGCCCAAAGCCUGGUGUGUUGGUCCUCUAGCGGAAGCCAAGCCACCAGUAUUAUUAGCUGAAGAAUCUGCAAAGCCAAAGUGGAGGCACUGGCUUGACAAAAAAUUGCACAAUGGAAAGUCAGUUUUGUACGUGGCAUUUGGAACUCAGGCUGAAGCAUCCCAAGAGCAACUGCUUGAAAUUGCAAAUGGUCUAGAACAAUCUAAGGUGAAUUUCUUGUGGGUCAUAAAAUCAAAACGGCUGGAGAUCUUGCAAGGGUUUGAAGAAAGGGUGAAGGAUAGAGGGAUCAUAGUGAAAGAAUGGGUAGAUCAAAUGGAGAUACUUAGGCACGAGAGUGUAAAAGGGUUCUUGAGCCAUUGCGGAUGGAACUCAGUUACUGAAAGCAUGUCAGCCGGCGUGCCCAUCUUGGCGAUGCCAUUCAUGGCUGAGCAACAUCUCAAUGCAAGACUUGUAUCGGAGGAGGUUGGUGUAGGCCUGAGAAUUAUGCCAUGCAAUGGAUCUGUGAGGGGCUUUGUGAAGUCAUCGGAAGUGGAGAAGAGAGUGAAAGAACUGAUACAAGGAACGAAAGGGGAGGCGGUAAGGAAAAAGAUGGAAGAGGUUGGAGAAGCUGCUUGUGAUGCAAUGAGAGAAGGUGGUUCCUCAUGGGAAACUCUAGAUCAACUCAUCCAUGAUAUAAGUAACUACACAAGAUUAACUCCUCUUAAUCAUGGAUUGGUAAGUGAACCUAGGACAGUUUCAGUUAGUUAAUAAUUUGUUUAUGUGUGAUGAAUUGGUAUACACUAUGGUUGUACGUACAGCAAUACCAUAUGGGGCUACUACAGUUUUAUGUAAAUCAACUUUCGUAACAGUACAACAACAUUAUACAUUAGCGUAUCCCAAAUCUCAUGAAAAAUACACAUCACCUGUAUGCAACCCCGAAGUCUUAACUGCAGUGUCCCUGGUUUGUAAUAAGUUGUCAAGCAACCGAAAUUGUUCUCCUAUCGUUUGGAAUCAACUUUGUUUUUCUUCUAUGUGUAUUGUAUUUAUUUGGGAUCCAAAAGUUAGACCUAGGUUGAUUUUAAAGUAGUGAAAUCUGAUUAAUAAUUUGGAAGGGCUAUGCAAUAGCGACCUCAGAACCUUGCAUCCAAAUCAACCUUGAGAUCCUUGGCUUUGAUUAUUCGACUUGUACAGUAAAUAAAAUCAUCCAAAAUGUCAAGAAGCAAACUUUCAUAAAAAAGCCCGUGCAAAAUCCUAGAAGACAUAUCUAGUCUACAGAUGUCUGAAGCCCACAUAUGCGUGUCUUCUACUAGAGAGUUAUUUUACAAGCACAACAUCAAAGAAGAAAAUUUAUUAUGCUAAUGCUACUACAACUGAAGACAAAGGGUUUAAAAUACAUUCAUGCAAUAGGGUGUACAGAAAUUAUCUAGAGGUCUAUGCGUUCACUACUUCUAUUGAUCUUAGAAAUCCAUCUAGUAUUUGCCCGCCGUGUACACUCAACUCGCAGGACAAACUAAAGAGUCUACUGCUGUUCUUCUUGCAUUUUUGUCAACAUCCAAGAAGAGAUUUCCAACCAAAUAGGAGAGAGAACAGAUACAAAGUCCAAAAGCCUUUUGUUUCGCUCAUACUUCAUAACGAGGCCUUUUCUUAAAGAUCUAAAGAAGCUCUAAACCUUCUUACAAGGGAUAAAGGAAAGGGAUCAAGGGAACGGGGAAAAGCUUAAGAGUAGAAUCAGGGAUAGACCACCACGUGAUCCUAAUCAUCCCAAACGCCCACCACUUGUACCUUGCUCUGUUGCUCAAACAAAAUAUUUCCAGCAGUCUGAAAUACUUCCUUAUCGCAACGCGUGAAUUUUUAAUGUGACGAAGGUUGGGUCUUUCAUACUUGAAAAUGCUACUGCUUUAGAAAUAGUUGUUUUAUUUUUUUUUUUUUUUGACAAAUUUGUCGCAUUAACCCCGCAACAGGACAAUUUUGAUAUGCUCCCUGAUAAGCUUGCACAUCACAAUGGAUGGCGUGUUAAAAAAGAUGAUCAGAUUCAUAAAGAUACAUCAAACGUUUGAAGGGAUUUAGAGCACUCUCUCGUCUUCUUCACUGCUAAGUCAUGCAAAUGAGAGCUGUUUACAGUCAAACUAGCUCGAAUAGGGUCCAGAAAUGGAACUUAGGACUUCAUACACUUCGUAGCCACAUGACAAUAUGUAUUCAAAUUCUGAAGUUGGUAAUAAAAUUCAAUUAGCAGAACAUUUUUGUUUCAAAACAGAUAAGAAAACUGAAAGGCCAACAGUUAAUGGUUCACUCUGUCUAACUAAAACUAUUUUUGCAAACCUUCAAAACUUUGAAAGAUACAAAAUGGAAUAAAGUGACGAGCCAAAUCAGUCUUUCAAUUUCCCUAGAACCAUAUAAGCAGGAGGAAACAUGACUUGACUUUGUUUCACUUUCAAAUAAGAUCCUUCGCAUCCAAACAAUAGCUAGCCAAAGCAAAUUGAAGAGCCACCUUAAAUGUCAUAUCUCAAAACGAAAGGUAGGAAAAAUAUUUUCAUCCUUCACAAAAUGACAUGCAUCCAUGAUGAGACCACACCUAGUUAAAACUAGUCUACAAAUGAUAUUUGAGAAAGUACAUCACAUGAUUCUCGAAUAAAUUCGCCUAGAGAUGGCUAAUCUAAAGCAGUUUUACGUACAUACAUAUUUAUCAUAUAAAGGCUGCAUUAAAAUGCUCUAGUAAUGUAUCAUAAACCCAGGAACCUACAAGUCCAAAUGUUUAAGAUCUCUCCAGUCCAAGAAGAAAGCUUUUAACCAUAUUCCAGGGACAUUACCUUCCAAAACCCCAAAGAAAAUGGCCUUGUCAUUGCAGUGAUUGGUGUAAAACCAACUACAGUGUCCAGAAAAUUGAACAUUAGCUUGUUUUGCCGCCUUAAAAUGCCAAGAGAUGCAUUCAUACUCCUGAAAAUAAAAUAAAAGCGUGCCCAUUGGCUGUUUAUGAGAAAUCUACAAACCAAACAACCAAGCUGAAAGUUGAACAUCAAACUGUCUUUUCUGCAGUCAGUUCUACGGAGCUCACACGCUCCCAUGAUUAACAAGGUACCCAUUUCUGUAGAAGAGAAAACCAUAGAGGUAGAGCUCUUGCCAUUCUUUGGUUUAUGUUGUAUUAUUCAUCAGCAUACAGAUAAUCAUCCAACAAAGGAGGUGCUUCCCGAAAGCAUUCUACGAAGUGUCCAUCUUUUAUCUUUUCCUUUUUUUUAUCUUUUUUUGGGUGGUUCUGACCAAAGUAUUGCCAUAUGCGUCAGAAAAACCUUAGUUGCAAGUUUUCCUUUAAAAGAAAAAAUAAUUAAAACUCCAGAUCAUGAACUUAGCGCAUUAAGAUUCAUCAAAUCUCCAUUACUCUUUAACCAAGGGUACAAGGCACAGUGUCAGAAAUAGUAACAAUCAUCUCUACACUUAGCUUAGUUCUUCUCAUUGUUGCUCUCCAGCUCCCUCCUAAGCUGCAGCGAGAAGUCAUCAUUUACAUCAUCAUCAUCCCAAUCAUCUUCCCACUGCUGGGUUACUUCUUUGCCUUCCUCUUUGUCCUCCC